GCCAUCCGAUUCUAGACCUUAAUCGGAGCGCUGAAAACCAAUUAAGGACUGACGUGAUUAAGAAGGAAGAAACUAUGCCUGGCAGCAUUGGGUGAAUGGAGGUAGAAACAGAGGAAACUGAAAAUGGUAAUAAUGAUGUAUCUCGUCCCUAAAGAGGCUAAUGAUCAACCGAAGGAACUACUAUACUAGAAACAAGCUUCUAAAAGGCUAUUGCAGAAUGGGAUACGGGUACUGAUGCGGGUCCUCUUGUAACUAGGCGUAGGCAUAUUCGGUUUGAAUCUCUUCAUGAAGGUAUAUAGGGGUGCUAAACGGGUCGGGUUUGCGGGUCAACCCGACCCGAACCUGAAAAUUUUAGACUGAUGCGAACCCGAAAAUCAUGCCGUACAUAUGAACCCGAACCCGACCCGAAUAUUCGCAUACUGACCGAACCCGACCCGUUCAACCCGAUUUUUUUUUUAUUUUUUUCAGCAAAUUAAUAUAUUA
rnacentral:lncRNA from 1 species